UGGAGGGAUCAUCUUGUGAAGAAAGAAGAGAAGUAGAAGGGCCAAAGAGCAAAGCGGCAGAUCUGAUUGAGGGGAACAAAAUCCCUAGAAUGCCUCUAUUCCCCAGGGGGCCUGGCACAUCUCUCCAUCUCAUCUCUUCCCCGCCUCCUUCUCCACCUCUGACCGCCACUGCGGCCAGGCCGUCAUGGCGGCGCGCCACCCAGCCAACCUCCUUCCUCCAACACCAUCAUCGCCUCCAGCUACCACGCCAUCAGCACCUGCCGCUGCACCAUCAACCGCGCCACCAACUCCACCGCGCUACCGCAUCACCGAAUCAUUUUAGGGGAUUACCCAAUGAAGACCCUCAUGAGCACAUUAGUAAUGUUCUGGAGUAUGCCAAUACAGUCCAGUACCAUGGCGUUUCCCAAGAUGCUAUCAAGUGUAUGUUGUUCACAUUCUCUCUCAGAGAUGCUGCUAAGGACUGGUACAAUUCUUUGCCAUCAAGAUCAUACACUUGGGGUGAUAUUUCGCAAGCUUUCCUGCAUAGAUAUUUUCCACUUUACAAGCAAGCUCCAAUUCGUGACCAGAUCCUCAGUUUUGUGCAAGAUGGAAGUGAGAGCUUGUAUGCAGCUUGGGAGAGAUAUAAGUAUUUUCUUAGAAAAUGUCCUAAUCAUGGGCAAAAGGAUUGGUUAGUGCUUUAGAUAUUCUAUAGAGGGCUGACACAUGCUUCAAGAGGUCUUAAUGAUAUUUCAGCUUGUGGAACAAUCAUGAACAAGACCGUUGAGGGUGCAAUUAUUCUCAUUGAGAGCAUUGCCUUCCACCAAAUGCAAUGGGGUUAUGAAAGGCCUAGUUCAAAUCCAAAGGUUGCAAGUUGUGUGCAAUCAGAAGCUGUGUGUUCCAUAAGUGAACAGAAAUCAUCCAUAGUGCCUAAUAUUGAAAACCAGCAUGUUUCAUUCCAGGGACAACAACAUCCAGAACUGAAUUAGAGCCUCCAUAUAGAAACAUUGAUCUUACUUCAAUUAUCCUUGAUGAUGAUUAUGAUAUUUUCCAAGAUGAUGCAACCACUGUAGAUCAGAUGGAUACCACAGUAGCAGAUCCAAUACCUCAUGGCAAUGAAACUGUUCAGAAUGAGUCAAAGUUGCAAGAAGAGGUUUAUGAGGAACCUACUCUGAUUGACGCUAAGUUGAGACAACAAGAUAUGGAGAAAUUCACUUGUGUUAGUCAGCUAUCUGACUGGCGGAAUUUAGUCGUGUCACCAAUUGCCCACACUUGUGUUACAACUGUAUCUGGACUAUUUGUGAAGAAGAAAUCAUUAGCUCCACCAGUGGUUACCUCUAUCACAGUUAAAGAGAGUAUUUCAGAGAAGAAUAGUGAAGAUGAGAUUCCAACUCGUGCACAUACAAUUAAGCAAGUCGGAGACAUUUCAAGGAGAGAGAUACAAGAGGUUGAGUUAAAUUUAGAAGAGUUGAUACUUCAAUAUCCUGAGAAGAUCCCAUGUGUUGCUGAGCUGCAUGACUGGUGGAAGUCAUCGGUGUCACUGUUGAAACUUAGCAAUGAUGGUGAUGAGGAGAACAUUGCUCAGGAAGACAGCGAGGUAGUGAUCUCAGCACCCCUACCAGAUCAUGUUAGUGAAUAUUCACAGAUGGGGACACUUCAGACUCAAUUAAGUGUUGCUGGUAGUAGCACCAUAGAAGAUCCAGAGGAAGAGAGACCUCAGAUUGAAGAUGUACUCGAAGCUAAUGCAGAAGACGAUCCAGAGAUCGAACAACCAAGUAAUCAAGUUGAAUACUCUUCAUCUACUACUCUUGAAGAAGCAAAAGAAGCUGCUGUAGAUGAACUUGAAGAACCAGAAAUUCAUUUGCCUAUUGUCACAUAAGAGCGUGAUGUAGCAGGUUUAUCUAAUCCUCUUGAUGAUAUGAGUCCAUAUGAAUUGUUUGCUACUACCUUGCAUUGCAUGAUGCCAUCUGUUAAACUAGAUUUGAAAAAGUAUUUGCUUGGAUAUGAUCAUAUAUACCUUGUUAGUGGAAUUACUCACAUUAGGGAUGAUCAUAGUUACUUUCAUCGUGCUAGACCUAUGCUUAAUGAAACAUAUCAUUCUCAUACUAGUCUUGAGCUUAAUGAUAAAUGUCAUCCUCAUGUUAGUGUUGACCUUAUUGAUUUCUAUCACCCUAAACAUGUGCUUUAUAGCUAUGCUUAUGUAAUUGGCCACUCGAUUGAUGACUUGGAGGGUAUUAUCCCUACCACUCGCAUUGUCUCUUUUGUUGAGUGCCUUUUUAGGUUUUUGCUUCUGCACUGUUCACUUCAUGCUGACCAGGUUCGAGGUGACAUUCCUUGGGACCCUGGUGGACUCAGAGCACGGCGAAGAGGAGAAGCAAUGGGGCACACAUAUGGAAGAGAGAAGCUGGAGAAGGCAUGAGGAUUGAGAUGCAAAAGGAGAGGAGCUGCAGUUGGUGAGGUGAUCGAGCGAGUGCUACAUCAUCAAAGCCCGGUGAGCUGUUUCAUGACCCAUUUUGAAAUCAUCAUCCAUUGAUGCUUGCUGAAUUAAAUUGCUAUUUGGGUUGCUUGUGCCAUUUCUUAAAUGUUGUCCCACUGAAUUUCACCUUUGACAUAUGGUGCUUGAUGAGAAUAUGCGAACUGAUUGUUGAAUGCCUUGUAAACUAGUGAUCUACACCCUGUUUGCUCUGCUGAAAGUGGUGAAAGCUAUUAGUUUUGAGUGCUCAAAUCCCUAGUGCACUAGUAAACUUAAUCAUUUUCUACUUUUACCUUGAUACACUUAGAUCAUUAAGUUUUAGAUGUUGAGUUUGUGCCUAUUGUGUUCCCAUUGAGAGCAAUCACUUUACCACUAUGGACUAGUAUGCUAUGUUCCCUGGAUCGGUAGCAUGUGAGCCAGACAUGGAGAAGUGAUGAUUCUUGUUUUUGUGCUUAUGCAUUGUUCAUUUAAGAUAAGUAAUAAUGAAUAAAUAAGUCUGACUACCUACAGUAGCAUGUCAUGUUCCCUUGAUCGGUGGCACGUGAAAUCGGGUUAGCUUGGGCAGUAAUUAAUAAUAAAAAUGUAAUUGUCGAACCAGGUGUUCUCUGGAUUGGUGGUAUGUUCCUUUGGGGAGACAAACAAAAAAACUAAUAAUUGGUCGAGCCGGGUGUAUACCAUGUUCUCGGGAUCGGUGGUAUGUUCCUUUGGUGAGAUUGAUAAAAUAUUACCAUUGCUUUAUUUCUAUAAAUAAGUGAUCUGAUCACAAGUUUAUGUUGUUUUUGUUCUCGGGAUCAUGCUCUCUUUAGGAACCUUUGGCGCAAUCAUCAUUUGAACUAGUUGAUCUUCUUUUAUCAUUGUAAACGUUUAAAAUGGUCAAGUCUACUAGUAUCCUACUGCUUUGAAGCACUCCUAACUAUUAAUUUUCACUAGCUAAGUCCAAAGCAUGCAUUGUUUAGAGAUCUACUUCACUUGGCAUUCUCUAGUCAGUUCUCAAUUCACUAUCGAGUUCGUGUCAUAUGCCUUUACUUGAGGACAAGUAAAGAUUUAAGUGUGGGGGAACUUGAUAAGCACACUUCUUAUACAUCUUUUGGCACUCAAAUAUGCGAUUUAUUGGGAUAUGACCAUCAAUUCUUGCUGUGAAAUGUUGAAUAUUUGAAUGAAAAUCAUAUAAAAGAUCAUUUACUCGUCAUUUGAUUAUUUUGCAGAAAAGUGCGCAAAGGCACUAUAAUCGUCAAGAUUCUGACUUUAUGGCUAAUGAGAAGGGAGAAGGGCAUGAAAGAAAUACAUCACGGACCGGAGCGAGAAGAAAAGAAGUAACCAGGGGCAUGCCAAAGAAGUUGGAGGGACCAUCUUGUGAAGAAAGAAGAGAAGUAGAAGGGCCAAAGAGCAAAGCAGCAGAUCUGAUCGAGGGGAACAAAAUCCCUAGAAUGCCUCUAUUCCCCAAGGGGCCUGGCACAUCUCUCCAUCUCAUCUCUUCCCCGCCUCCUUCUCCACCUCCGGCCGCUGCCGCAGCCAGGCCAUCGUGGUGGUGCGCCACCCAGACAACCUCCUUCCUCCAACACCAUCAUCGCCUCCAGCUACCACGCCAUCAGCACCUGCCGCUGCACCAUUAACCGUGCCACCAGCUCCACCGCGCCACCGCAUCACCGGUGGGCCACCAACCAGCGCACCUCCCUCACCCUGCUGCUCAUCUUCUUCUCCCCACCAUGUCCAAACUACUGCCGCUCUUCUCUCCAGCCUAUACUGCUGCUGCUUCUUCCCCUCGAUAUUCUGCUGCUCUGCUCUCUAUACUCUGCUGCUGCCCCUGUCUCCUAACAAUACUGCUGCACUUCUUCUGAAGCUUUUCUCAAACCCAAGAAUCUGCUGCUGCUCCUCCCCUAACACGGCUGCUUCUUCUCCAUCCCCACGCUGCUGCUUUUUCUUCAAGUCCCCUGCUGCUUCCUUCUGCUUCAGGAUGACACCCCUUUGCUGAUUCUCUUCUCUGUAUCUCAACCCCCACUGCUUGCUGCCCCUUCUCUCUUCUGCUCGCUGCUAUCUCUUUCCCUCUCUCUUCUUUGAAUUUUCUGUAAUUGGAGACGUGUAGUACAUGUAAUAUUCAGAUUUGAUAAGAUCUUGCAACCUGACAAUUGUUUAGCUUCGUACUUAUAAAUAUUAUAUCACAGAUUGUGUAUUCUCACUAGUUGAAGUGUUCUUGCUGUGUAUUUGUGGUCUAUCUCUCACCAUAUAUGUGUAUCCAACCUUGUGAACUUUUUUCAUUUUGUAGUCUGUGUUAACUCAAGUAUGUGUGAUAUAUAUGUAUGUGUGUGCCUGUGA